CUUUAUAGAGUAUAGACGUGUAAUUCAUUCUGCAAAACUCUGCGGUGUAAAUUUUUUUAUCAUCUUCCAAAAAUUGCAAACAGUUUAUAUAAAUGGCAACAACAGUUAUUACUCAGGAACCAAUUUCGACCACGGAAUUUUUAAUAGCUGGAGAAAAUGCUAACACUAGUAGAUUUUGUAAUCGCUGUUGUAGACCAGCUGGUCCUGAAGAAAUGUGGUGACCCAUGUUUAGUUUGGAUAGUAGGAGGUGCUGCUGGCCUAAUAGGAUGCAUAUUUGGUUCAUUAUGAUCAACAAUUGCUGUAAAAAUAGUACUGACAUGAUGGUCUAAAAUUGACGUUAUCA